rnacentral:lncRNA from 12 species
GCGCACUGGGGGGUUACUGGUCUGAACUGGGGGGUCACUGGGAGGUCACUGCUCUGAACUGGUCUGAACUGGUGCAUACUGGGGGGGUCACUGGGAGAUCACUGGUCCGAACUGGGAUGUCACUGGUCUGAACUGGUUCUAACUGGGAGGUCACUGGGAUGUCCCUGCUCUGAACUGGUUCUAACUGGGAUGUCCCUGGGGGGUCCCUGCUCUAAACUGGUUCUAACUGGGAGGUCACUGGUCUGA